rnacentral:rRNA from 1 species
GACGAACGCUGGCGGCGUGCCUAAUACAUGCAAGUUGAGCGCUGAAGGUUGGUACUUGUACCAACUGGAUGAGCAGCGAACGGGUGAGUAACGCGUGGGGAAUCUGCCUUUGAGCGGGGGACAACAUUUGGAAACGAAUGCUAAUACCGCAUAAAAACUUUAAACACAAGUUUUAAGUUUGAAAGAUGCAAUUGCAUCACUCAAAGAUGAUCCCGCGUUGUAUUAGCUAGUUGGUGAGGUAAAGGCUCACCAAGGCGAUGAUACAUAGCCGACCUGAGAGGGUGAUCGGCCACAGUGGGACUGAGACACGGCCCAAACUCCUACGGGAGGCAGCAGGAGGGAAUCUUCGGCAAUGGACGAAAGUCUGACCGAGCAACGCCGCGUGAGUGAAGAAGGGUGUCGGAUCGUAAAACUCUGUUGGUAGAGAAGAACGUUGGUGAGAGUGGAAAGCUCAUCAAGUGACGGUAACUACCCAGAAAGGGACGGCUAACUACGUG